rnacentral:lncRNA from 1 species
UAUAUGUCCCUACAGAUUCUACGAAAAUUAGAGAAGAGAAGAAGAAAAUAACAGAGAAAAGGAAGGAGAGAUUCUCAUAGCACAGUCAAAAUUGUUGAGGAGAUUUGCAAAAAUCAAAGAGAUGGAAGAAGGAAUAAGAGAGGUAUCCAAAGGGAAAGACCAGAAAAAACUUACCUGCGUCAAGAUUCGAAGAAGAUGAGUCGAUGUUGAACGCAGGAGAGGUGGAGUGGAGUCGCAGAGAAGAAGUGAACUGGAGAGAGGCGUGUUCAAUACAGCAAAGGCUUAUUUUGCGAACUCAUUUUGAGCUUCUCUGUAUAACGAGAACGAGUGAGGCGUUUUUUUUACUGUUGGGCUCUACUAUCCCAUUUACAUUAGUCCUCUUGCUAACCAAACAUGGGCUUCAGGUCUAAUAUAGCACAGUCCCAUUUAGUGAGCCAUACCAAACAUGCCCUAUGGGGUCGUUUGGAACGGCGGACUGUCAUGGACUGGACUAAAUCCUGGGACUGUCUUGGAUUAGCUCGGAUUGGACUAAGCUGGAUUAAGUAUUGACCUACGUUUGGUGUUGCGUCGGACUAAGAAGCUGGAUUGUAAAAAUAGUGAAGACCUAUGUUUGGUACUGUGUGGGACUAAAAAAUAAUUAUUUUAUAUUUAAAAAUAAUAAUUGUUAAAUAAUUAAAUGUAGUUUUUUUGUUAUUAGAAUUACCAAAUUGACAAUAUACAUUUCUUUUCCUCCAAACCAAAUUCACAUGUACAUUUCAUAUGUGCAAAAGUUAGAAAUUUUCAUAUAUGCCAAAGUCAUCUACAUGACUCAGAAAUUAGAGGUUUAGUUCGCUACACACAAUUCUACCAUUAAUACAUACAAAUAAACAUCCACAAUUUCAAAAUGAAACUAAUAAACCCCACAACCAUGAACCAUAUGGCUUUAAUGCUAGCAAAAUGUUAUACAAUUUGUGGUGUUUCCAAAAUGAAGCCAAUCUUAUCAAUGCAUCAUUUGUGGUGUUUCCAAAAAGAUAGAUGCAUCAAACUUAGCUAGGCCAUGUCCUCAAGCAUUGUCACUAAGCAACUGCUCAACAAACACUUUCUUGAUAUCAUCAUCCAAAGACAUGAAUAUAGAGAUGUUUUGUGGCUUCUCCAAAAUGAGCUUUAGUGCUGCAAUUUGAUCUAACGGAGAAAAUCCCAUUCUCUUGAGUUCUUUGGCAAUAUCAGAUCGAUCUUCAUUACCUUUUAUUAUAGCCUCAGUCACCAUUUGCAUCCUUUUCCCAGAUGCUUCAAACAAUUUCUCCAAUACAGUCACAAUCUUCUCUUCAUCACUUGAACUUGUAGCUCUUUUCCUCUUAUUUUGACUGUUCAUAGAUUGGCUUCCUUCUAUGUUUAAAUCCAUUGUUCACAAAGUUAUUUUGCUGACAUUAAUGUAGGAAUAGGGAGCUCCUCUAAGUUGCAAGCACCUUUUCCACAAAACUUGGGAAGGCAUUGCAAACCAAUCACUGGAGCCCUGCCGCAUAAUUGUAUCAAACUCUCCCUUUCAAGUAUCUAUGCUCCAUUGCAGUCAAGCGAAACGAGGUAGCUGCGCAUCAAAUAUCUGGUGAAUAGCUGCAUCUACACAGGAAAGAGGUAGGGGGAUUGUUCGGGUCACUCGAUCUUCUCCAUUACCUUGAUGCCAUAAGCUUGUAUUAUAUCCAUGGCUGCAUUACCACAAACAACUCCAGUUAAACUGUUGCAGCCAAUGAAAUUUCAUGUCUAAAAAGGCUAAAUAACGAAAGAGAGACCUAGAAGUCUGAUAUAAAUGUCUAUGAUAAGAGCUUUAUUAUAGAACACCAAACCAAACGAAAACAAGAGCAAGUGGUUACCUGGGACAUAUACUUCUGGUUCAAUAGGCCUCAAGACCCCUCUUGUUUUGACCUUGUUUCCAAGUAUGAGCUGCAAAAGAAGUAAACUUGUUUAGGCAUUACCUCACUUCAUGGUGUAGAAGAACAGAAACGUAUAUAGUAAGUACUAGAGCUCCAAUGGCUGCCGGGAUGCCAACCGUGAAAGCCAUGGCGGUGAUCAUUUUACCAUUCUUAGUCUGCCCAAAUUCCAGUAAAGUGCCUGAAUGAGUGCGUGAAUGCUUCUCUCUAAGUCCAUCUGGGAACUCAACCUCUACUUCAUGAUGCAAAAGCACCAUAUCCUGACCACAAAUCACACAAGUUCCAAUAACACAAGUUUGGCAAUAUAGAUAGGAAUAUAAAAGCCGUCUUUGGUAUAAAAUGACUUGGCUGUGCCAAUCCUGUUUUAUUUGCUGCUAAGGAGUUUACCUGUUCUGUGCUGGAGUACGCUAAUCUGUCUUCCAUGAGGAGACAACUCAAUCUACACUAAAACUCAAGGUAAGUCCGAUAUCUUUGUGGCACUCCAUCCACAGCUUAAGGGAGUAGGGGGUGAAUACUUUAUGGACUGUAACAUCGCCAAACCGAGCUCUCAGGCAAAAGAUGCAGAUUUGGCAACCAGACUCUGGGACUUUAGCUUGAGUUUGACAAAUGCAAAGUAGUAUGGUGUUCUAAUAUUUUCUGGGUCAUGUAGUAGCUGGCUUUUUUCUGCACUGAAAUCAAAUUGCCAAACUGCAAACUGUAAUCACAUACUGGACACCAUCGCAUCCAUUUUUUAAUUUUUAUUGCAUCCAUAUUUUUUUUCAACAUAUAUCGCAUUGGCAAAACAGAGUCAAAAACUAAACACCACUCUAAGCUCAACAUCUUCCAAGUAUACACACAUACACAAGAACGAUAAACAACAAAAAGAGAAAAAAGGUGAAUUGGGUUCUGUCUUUGUAAUCAAAAAGAGUCCUACUAGGAUUCAAUUACCACCUAUACAUAUAUAUAAGUUAAUUCAGCCUUGAUUUACUUGAGUUGUUUUGCCAGCCAUUUUCUUGAUCAUUUCUUCCAAGUGAUGAUCAAACGGUCCACGAUAUAUAUACAUGGAAGCAGAACAUGGACAAGAAGCAAUGAUGAGCUCAGGCCAGCUGCCAGUGGGAUUUAGGUUUAUGCCAACAGAUAAGGAGUUGGUCACUCACUAUCUAAUGAACAAGGUGUUUGAUAGGCCUGUGCCAGCUGCUGAGGCAAUUCAGGACAUUGACGCAACCCAAUUCUACAGCACCCAUCCGAAGAAUCUAGGUAAUAAUUUUCUACCUUGUUAUAUUAUAUUAUAUCGAUAUGUAAUGAAAACCAUAAAAACUGAAACAGCAAGUUCAAUAAACUCAAGAUUCAUGCCAAAAGUCUACUUUACUUCUGAAUUUCUAGGUUUUCUGAAAUACCCAAUUGCAAAUUAAUUGCCAAUUAACAUCAUGUAUAUAUAUGUCCCUACAGAUUCUACGAAAAUUAGAGAAGAGAAGAAGAAAAUAACAGAGAAAAGGAAGGAGAGAUUCUCAUAGCACAGUCAAAAUUGUUGAGGAGAUUUGCAAAAAUCAAAGAGAUGGAAGAAGGAAUAAGAGAGGUAUCCAAAGGGAAAGACCAGAAAAAACUUACCUGCGUCAAGAUUCGAAGAAGAUGAGUCGAUGUUGAACGCAGGAGAGGUGGAGUGGAGUCGCAGAGAAGAAGUGAACUGGAGAGAGGCGUGUUCAAUACAGCAAAGGCUUAUUUUGCGAACUCAUUUUGAGCUUCUCUGUAUAACGAGAACGAGUGAGGCGUUUUUUUUACUGUUGGGCUCUACUAUCCCAUUUACAUUAGUCCUCUUGCUAACCAAACAUGGGCUUCAGGUCUAAUAUAGCACAGUCCCAUUUAGUGAGCCAUACCAAAC